rnacentral:rRNA from 1 species
UACGAAGGGGACUAGCGUUGUUCGGAAUCACUGGGCGUAAAGCGCACGUCGGCGGAUGUGUCAGUCAGGUGUGAAAUCCCGGGGCUCAACCUCGGAACUGCCUUUGAUACAGCACGUCUCGAGUCCGGAAGAGGUGGGUGGAAUUCCUGGUGUAGCGGUGAAAUGCGCAGAUAUCAGGAAGAACACCCGUGGCGAAGGCGGCUCUCUGGGACGGUACUGACGCUGAGACGCGAAAGCGUGGGGAGCGAACAGG